ACGACCCUUCCUCUCUCGAUCUCAUCUGGACCUCCUGCUCCGCCCCGCCCCGCCCCUCACCGCCGUCCGCGGCCGCGCGCCGCCGCCCCCUACUCCGCCGGCGCGCCGCCGCCCCCUACUCCGCCGGCGCGCCUACCCAUUACCCCAAGUGCCAACACACCCGCGCCCAUCGACUACGGGCGACCCGCGGCCUUCCACCGCCGGCGACGCUCGACGUCACGGCCAUUGGCGGCUCCCCGGCCCUGCUACCAUGGCGCCUCCGGGACUCCUCCCCGCUCCUUCCACCUCGACAUUGGUUUUCCCAACCCCGCCGGCUUCGCCACCAGCCACUCCUUCCAGGCGCACUCUAUCCGCCGUCGUCGGACCCAUCCGACUGGUUCCAAUGGCGAACAUCGACGCGAUUCACCCGCCCACCAUCAGAUGCGACAGCAAAUCCAUAGCCCCUGGCCACCCCCUCCGCCGCCGGCGCCGGUGCCUCGAAGGUCAAGGGAAGACCCUCUACUCGGCCCCCAUCGCCGUCCGCGCCGCCGCCCUUUGCCGCCGCCACCACCGCCGUCCAAAUCGCCGCCCCCAUAGCCGUCCAAACUACUCUCCGCAACACCUCUCCAUCCCACAGCUGCCGAAGACAGGGAGGAGGACGAGGCUGGCUAGGCAGGGAGGCCGAAGGUGAAGUGCAGUGGGAGGCACAUUGGUUUGUGCAGAGGGAGGUCUAUGGUCAGCUCAUUGGAAUCUCACAGGCCACCACGGGGAGAGCAAUCACGCAGGCACAUCAACCUCCCCCGCCAGAUGUUGCGGUGUUCAGGAAGGACCGUAGAUACAGUAGCGGUCCAUCCGCAACCGCGGCCACGGGUGCCUAAUCUAAGGCGACCUCCUGUUUUGACAUCGUCCUUGGUAGCUGCAAGCGUGGAAACAACCUUGGCAGUGCAGCGGCAGCCACAAGGUUGUUCCUAGACCACUCCACCUCUGAACUGUACAACCUGCUGUGCUUUCUAGCUAUUCUAUUUAUAUGUAGCCAUACAUUGGUACAGUUAAUUCAUAAACAUGAUUCAAUAGGAUUUGAUAUUUUUUCAUGUCUCAAGUUUUUAGCUCUUCCCUCUUGGUGUGCAAAUCUUUUAGAGGGAAUUUGGUGUGCCAAUUAUUUUCCUGAUUACUGUAGUUAUAGUUUUCCUCAGAACACGCACAGUGAAAACAUAUAUACUUGCACGUCAAAAUAAAUUCUCUCUAAGUGUUAUUGAUCCUGGUUCAUACAAGUGCAUAAUAAAAAACAUCGGUGCCAAAACACAAACAAUCAAAAAAGGAAGACCCUCCUAAGGUUGUCAGUUACAUGAUAAUCCAAAAAAUUAAAAGAAAGGCAAACUCAUUAAUUGUGAAGUUUUUGUUGAUAUACAUUUUGACCUUGCCAUUCAUCUCUAUGUCGUCUUUGGGUGGCACCUGAUGGAUUCUGGCGUGUUACAUUGAUGAAUGUUUAUAUAAACACACAAAAUCUCUCUCCCGUUGCAACGCACGGGUUUAUCGACUCUAUUUUUUUUUUGGGAAAGUAAAUGACAGACGUCAUCUCCUUUUCAACCGGAAUUCUUUAUGGUGGAAUAAGGGAACUAAAUUUAAGUAAAAUUUAACAUAGUUCUAAUGGUUUGAAACAAAAUUAAAAGAAGACAUGUUGCUGUCCUGUAUUUUGACCAUGUAUAGGUUUAUUCUAGAGCCGUAGCAACGCACGGGUCUUUUGCUAGUAAUAAUAUAAUAAUAAUAAUAAAGCACGGAUUGACUCCGUGGGUUCACCGUCAUAAUACGCUUUCUUUUCAUGACAUAAUACGCUUUUACGACUUGUAUAGACAAAAUCGUAAUAUAAACGAGGUGGUACUAAUUUGAGCCCCCACUUUGUUUUUACCAAAAAAAAGCCUCUAUUAUUUAAACCAAAACUACCAAACAAAUCCUCCGCCUCCUCCCCUGCUCUCGCCAUCGCCCGCAGAGCUCCACCCAAUCCCUCGCUCGCUCGGUGAGAUCCAAGGCGGCCGCGUCUGGGACCGGACCCACGCGGGAGGAGGAGUUCGGCGAGCAUGAGCUGGAGGUGGCAGCCAUUCUCGCGGACCUGUCGUCCAUCGUGCGGGCCAGCAGCAGGAGCAGGCGCGGCCGGAGAUCCCCUCGUGGAGCCGGAGCCGGCCGAGGAAGGCCCUAGCGGCUCUGCCGGCCAAGAAGCCCGCGGCCGAUAGCCCGGACACCCCGCUCGCCUUCCUCGACGACGACGAGGCGGCGGCAGCGCAGGACAAGUCGGCGCAGGAGCAGCGCGGCGAUUUUGACGAGUAGGAGAUGGAGCGCGUCACAAGCACCUUGGCUGCACCCUGAGGACUCUUUCACAAAUCAUGUCAAUGAGACUAGCAAUUUGAAGAGGCUGCUGCACAUGAUAUGAAGAUAUUGGCAUAUACAGUCCCAAACAUAAGUUUCAAAAUAGCAGGUGUGGAGUUUAGCCCUAUUCCGCUGUAUGGAAAGCCAUGACUUCCACACAGAUGAUGCAAGAGGAAACAAGCUAGACUCACAACUUUGGUUUUCAGGCAUCUUCACCAACAAAUAUUACCCUGCAAAUCAAGGACUUUAGAGCCCGGCCACAGACCUCACGGAGCACCAACGAUAGCCUCAAGGUGAUUCAGCAGAGCAAGGUGAUGAGUACUCAGCUGGCUGGCCAAUAUCAAUGAUCUUAUCGGCCGGCAAAGCGGAGACGGACGACCACGGUCCCGACCUUGCCAGCAGGCGGAGACAAUAAAUGGGAUCAAGGGAAGUUGGUCGGGCUCCAGCGGCACAUGCUUACCACUGCUGACUGUUGCCGGGAAAGGUAUGUUGGUUUGAUUCUUUCAAGAUCCCAAACUAAAACAAGUCACCUGUGACAUUUGAAUGAUGCAAAGGUUUGUUGUCUCUUCCCAAGAAAUUGUGUGCAGAGAAGCUACCUUGAUUUUACAUGCUGAACCUAUUUUUGCAUAAUCAAACACUGACGAUAAGAGAGAUGAAUGUGCAGUAUGCUAAAUUUGGGUAUCCAAUUGCAAAAGAAUUGGAUUAUUAUUUACAUUAGAAGCCAGGUUAUCACUAUGUAUUUUAAAUUGAUCGCUCAUGGACCGCUCAAUUGGCCAUAAACACAACAUAAUUCGAUCCCUCCCUUCAAAUUGGCAACUAAAGGGAAGGUGAGUUAAAAUGUCUCAGCCCCUGUGACCUGGCUGGUUAUGUUUAUAUUACAUCCAAUAUUAUGUGUACUCAUUUGAUCUAAGGUUAUUUUUAAUAACUUGUUUUUUUUGUCACGAACAAAUCGAUGAACCGGCGGUCCAACCGGUGACAGACACAACGGUUCAGUUGCCCGUUCGGUUUUAAAAAAUAUAGUCCGAUGGUCAUGGUGGAAGAACAUGACAUGAAGUGCUUUGUAUCCCAAGAACGACGAGGAGACAUGAGCAGCCGGUGGCAGUGCUUCGCACUUCAAGCAGUAGGGAUACUUGAUCAUGGGGAAAGGGAAGGGAGAUGAGUUCGUGCUUGCAUGAUUUUUAGGGAAAGAGCGUGUGUAUUGUACUUCUGUGUGCAUGAAGUGUUUUGUUUGGGCCAAGCCCAAAUAAUGAAAAUAAAACACUAUCUCUAAAACUAUUCAAAUCCUUUUGCA